UUACUACCAAACGGGGGCCGAGCAUCGUUGGCUGAGAUUGUAACGAGUGUGUUACUGACCGUUGAACCUGACCUGGGUCAUGCCAGCGGAGGAAGAGGUAUAUGAAUCGAU
rfam:Brevibacillus parabrevis strain CN1 contig_5, whole genome shotgun sequence.